rnacentral:rRNA from 1 species
GGAAAAGAAACCAACAGGGAUUGCCCCAGUAACGGCGAGUGAAGCGGCAACAGCUCAAAUUUGAAAUCUGGCCCCCAGGGCCCGAGUUGUAAUUUGCAGAGGAUGCUUUUGGCGCGGUGCCUUCCGAGUUCCCUGGAACGGGACGCCAUAGAGGGUGAGAGCCCCGUCUGGUCGGACGCCUAGCCUGUGUAAAGCUCCUUCGACGAGUCGAGUAGUUUGGGAAUGCUGCUCUAAAUGGGAGGUAUAUGUCUUCUAAAGCUAAAUACCGGCCAGAGACCGAUAGCGCACAAGUAGAGUGAUCGAAAGAUGAAAAGCACUUUGAAAAGAGGGUUAAAUAGUACGUGAAAUUGUUGAAAGGGAAGCGCUUGUGACCAGACUUGGGCCCGGUGGAUCAUCCAGCGUUCUCGCUGGUGCACUCCGCCGGGUUCAGGCCAGCAUCAGUUCGCCGCGGGGGAAAAAGGCUUCGGGAACGUGGCUCCUACGGGAGUGUUAUAGCCCGUUGCAUAAUACCCUGGGGCGGACUGAGGUUCGCGCUCCGCAAGGAUGCUGGCGUAAUGGUCAUC